ACGCUCGACACCUACAGGAGGCAGCAGUGGGGAAUAUUGGGCAAUGGAGGCAACUCUGACCCAGCAACGCCGCGUGAGUGAUGAAGGUCUUCGGAUUGUAAAACUCUUUAAGUAGGGACGAAGAAAGUGACGGUACCUACAGAAUAAGCCUCGGCUAACUACGUGCCAGCAGCCGCGGUAAUCUGAGCGGGCUGGCAAGGC
rnacentral:rRNA from 1 species